UACGUAGGGGGCUAGCGUUGUCCGGAAUCAUUGGGCGUAAAGCGCGCGUAGGCGGCCAGAUAAGUCCGGUGUGAAAGUCAAAGGCUCAACCUUUGAAUGCCGCUGGAAACUGUCUGGCUUGAGUCCGGAAGGGGCGAGUGGAAUUCCUGGUGUAGCGGUGAAAUGCGCAGAUAUCAGGAGGAACACCUAUUGCGAAGGCAGCUCGCUGGGACGUAACUGACGCUGAGACGCGAAAGCGUGGGGAGCAAGCAGG
rnacentral:rRNA from 1 species